rnacentral:rRNA from 1 species
GACAGAGGGUGCAAACGUUGUUCGGAAUUACUGGGCAUAAAGCGCACGUAGGUGGUCCGCUAAGUCGCGUGUGAAAUCCCCCGGCUCAACCGGGGAAAUGCGCGUGAUACUGGCGGGCUUGAGAUCGGGAGGGGUGAAUGGAACUCCAGGUGGAGCGGUGAAAUGCGUAGAUAUCUGGAGGAACACCGGUGGCGAAAGCGGUUCACUGGCCCGACACUGACACUGAGGUGCGAAAGCUAGGGUAGCAAACAGG